rnacentral:rRNA from 1 species
UACGGGGGGGGUAAGCGUUGUUCGGAAUUACUGGGCGUAAAGGGCUCGUAGGCGGCCAACUAAGUCAGACGUGAAAUCCCUCAGCUUAACUGGGGAACUGCGUCUGAUACUGGAUGGCUUGGAUUCGGGAGAGGAAUGCGGAAUUCCAGGUGUAGCGGUGAAAUGCGUAGAUAUCUGGAGGAACACCGGUGGCGAAGGCGGCAUUCUGGACCGAUAUUGACGCUGAGGAGCGAAAAGCCAGGGGGAGCAAACGGGG